rnacentral:rRNA from 1 species
GCGGCGGACGGGUGAGUAAUGCCUAGGAAUCUGCCUGGUAGUGGGGGACAACGUUUCGAAAGGAACGCUAAUACCGCAUACGUCCUACGGGAGAAAGUGGGGGAUCUUCGGACCUCACGCUAUCAGAUGAGCCUAGGUCGGAUUAGCUAGUUGGCGAGGUAAAGGCUCACCAAGGCGACGAUCCGUAACUGGUCUGAGAGGAUGAUCAGUCACACUGGAACUGAGACACGGUCCAGACUCCUACGGGAGGCAGCAGUGGGGAAUAUUGGACAAUGGGCGAAAGCCUGAUCCAGCCAUGCCGCGUGUGUGAAGAAGGUCUUCGGAUUGUAAAGCACUUUAAGUUGGGAGGAAGGGCAGUAAGUUAAUACCUUGCUGUUUUGACGUUACCGACAGAAUAAGCACCGGCUAACUUCGUGCCAGCAGCCGCGGUAAUACGAAGGGUGCAAGCGUUAAUCGGAAUUACUGGGCGUAAAGCGCGCGUAGGUGGUUCGUUAAGUUGGAUGUGAAAGCCCCGGGCUCAACCUGGGAACUGCAUCCAAAACUGGCGAGCUAGAGUAUGGCAGAGGGUGGUGGAAUUUCCUGUGUAGCGGCGAAAUGCGUAGAUAUAGGAAGGAACACCAGUGGCGAAGGCGACCACCUGGGCUAAUACUGACACUGAGGUGCGAAAGCGUGGGGAGCAAACAGG